AACAGAGAAUACAAAUUGAAUAAAAAAUAUAAUGAUAAAGGUUCCCAAAAAUCCCUGACUUAUGAAAGAAGGAAUCUGGAGUUAUCCCAAAUAAUUAAAGUACUUUUCACAUAGUUUUUUUUACAUCCAUCAGGAGAGUGUCAUUUCCCCAAAACAUAAAAAAACAGAAGAGCAGCAAUGCUGCUUAACUGUUUAUGCAAUUAUCACCUAACAAUGAAAUAAAUGAAAACACUAUUAAGUGUUUACACAACUUUAACAUUCCUAUUGAGGUGCUGCUGUGUGCUUGUAGCCUUUUAUCCAUUAGAGAUGUUUGAUUUCUGUCAGAGCCAAAGCCCAGAUGAUGUCCACCAACAAAGGCAAUCCUCCAAAUGGAAAUUGUGGGUGAGAAUGUGUUGAUUUUUCCUCAAAAUAAUGCUUAAGCUGUUUCUGUGAUUUUUGCUUCUUUUUUAUCUAUUUUUUCAUUUUUGCAAAAUAGCAGAUUAGCUACAAAUGUAAGGACCAGUCUUAUACUAUGUUUAUGUUCCAUUUUACCAGGAUUUGAACCCAGGACCUUUUUGCUCCAAGACAGCAGUGCUACUGACUCCACCACAUAGCUUCAGUCUAAAAAUGUCUAAUUUAAAUUUUUUUUUUAUUUCUAUUGAUUAUUUUCAAACAUAAAAGUUAUAUUCAAACCUAUUACUGAUUAACUGGACUUUUUGUUAACUUUUUGGCAAUUAAACAAAAACAAACAUAAAUAUACAAAAAUAAAAACACAUAUCCAUUUCUCAUUCACGAGUGAAGCUCACUUCCAACCAAACCAAAAAAGAAUCCCAAAUAAAAUUCAUGUUAUAAUGUCGAAAAAAUCAAUGUCCUUUGUUACUUAUACUUUGAUUUGCUAAUAGUAUGGAAACUAAUUAUAAUUAACCUACCAUGAUUUAAUGAUAAUUGCAAGAAAUAAAGAUGAGGGACCAUCUUUAUUGGUAUUGCAGUGAUUUGUAAACAAGUCCACAAAUCACUGUGGACUUGUUUAUGAUUGGUAACUAUAUAUAUCAACAAGAAAUAAAGUUAUUCAAGCCAUGUGGAAGGCCAAGGAAAAUUCUUUAUGUCAAUUAAGAAAUACUCUUCCUAACCAAGGAUCAACCGAAUAUAGAAACUCUAAAUGUGGCAGCUAAUAAUCUGACAAAACUGUGUGUUUUUUAAUGUCACUGAUUUGAUUCAGCAUGAGACCAUGGCUUGAACCGUUAGGAGGCACUAUCUUACCUCUGAAGUGAUUGAUAAUUUUAUUAAGGGUGUUACCCAAAAUUGCCCUGUUAUUGUCGGGUUCCGGGAUUUUUCUUUAUUUUUGAAUCCUCUUGGUGGUUCACGGGCUGUCCACCAGAUAGCGCCAGAGGCUGGUUUCCAGGGGGAGGUGUGCCUGUAGUUCUGCACACCUGACGAUGAUCUUCUCAUCAUCAGCUGGAGAUGAAAAGACGCUGACAGCCAGCACUUCGACGCUGGAGUGUUUUCGCCAAAACGGUACUCUGAGCCCCUCGGAAUCAGUCUCCGAGUUCGUUUCCUCUGAGUUCCCUCUCGAGUAAUUCGUCGUUUUGUUCUCUGUGCUGUUCAGGUGUUUUCCUCUCGAGUCAUUCCCUGGAUCCUCCCUGAGAGACUUCCGUUGUGGCUUUUGGAUUAAGCCCUCCUCGUGACGCCGUGGAUGGUACCCACAGGUUGCCCGAGUUCCCAUUUCCUCCUCAUCUGUCGGAUCUCAAGAUUCUCCAGUUUCACUUCCUCCGGCUGGCUGUCGGACCCUUCCCUUCAUCAUCGUCGAAUCCAGAACUUACCUGUCCGCCCUCCACCGCCAUCUCCCAGCCUUUGGACCUCGCUCAGCUCUGCUGCCCAUCCGGAACCCGCAGUAUCCACCCUCUCAAUCCGAGACUAUAGCUACUAGAAAUGAGCCGCAGUCAGCAGCAUUCCCCCCCAGUUUGGACCCUACCACGCCAACAUCUUUACUGGGUUAUUGUUUUACAAUAAAUAUUCUUCAACUGAUUCUUUGUCUCCUGUGGUGUUCUGCAUGUGGGCUAGAAACCUAAACCCCAGCAUGACAUAUCUUAUCUGGUUCUUGUGACUCAAUGGUCAGCCAAUUUUUCAACAAACUGAAGUCUAACCUGGACCAUGCAACUUCAUUAGUUUCAAAAAAAGUUUAAUAAACAACUAUGCCCAUGGAAAAAUGAAGAUAUUAACAAAUGUGCUAACACCUUAACAUAUACAAUGCCUCUGUCCAAAAUUCAAGAAAUGAAUAUUUUUGCCAAAAUAUUUAACAGUCACAAAAAUAAUAGCAAUGUUUUGUUUUCCACCACUGAUAAUCUGAUUAACUCUAACUUUACUGAUUAUGCACAGACUCCAACUGACUCUGAACAGUUAGCAAAUCAUUUCAGAGGAAAGAUUUAGUCAAUUAGAGCUAACAUUUUAUCUGAGCAAAAUACUGUUUUUAAAUCUAAUGAAUGUUUGUUUUUACCUCUGGGAACACUGGACCGUUUCUCUGUGGUUGAUCACUGUAAAGUUUUCUCUCAAGUCAAACCAGCCACCUGCCUCUUGGACCCAAUUCCCUCACUUUUUAAUUCAUUUUAUAGAUGUUUUGAGUAUGAGAUUUUAAAUAUUGUAAAUUGCUCUCUUCAGUUGGGAGUCUUCCCCACUUCCUUUAAAAUGGCAGUUGUAAAGCCUCAUCUGAAGAAGCAUAAUGUGGAUCCUAGUGUUUUUAAUAAUUACAGACCUGCAUCCAACUUAUCAUUUUUAAGCAAAUAUUUAGAAAAGCUUUUUUAUUUAAAAAAAAAAAAAACUUUUUAAAAUGACACUGGCAUUUUAGAAAAGUAUCAAUCUGGUUUUA